rnacentral:rRNA from 1 species
CCUACGGGAGGCAGCAGUGGGGAAUAUUGGACAAUGGGGGAAACCCUGAUGCAGCGACGCCGCGUGAGUGAAGAAGUAAUUCGUUAUGUAAAGCUCUAUCUGCAGGGAAGAAAAUGAAGGUACGUGAGUAAGAAGCCCCGUCUAACUACGUGCCAGCAGCCGCGGGAAUACGUAGGGGGCAGCCGUUAUCCGGAUUUACUGGGUGUAAUGGGAGCGUAGACGGGAGUGCAAGUCUGUAGUGAAAGGGUGGGGCUCAACCCCCGGACUGCUCUGGAAACUGUACGGCUGGAGUGCAGGAGAGGUAAGUGGAAUUCCUGGUGUAGCGGUGAAAUGCGUAGAUAUUAGGAGGAACACCAGUGGCGAAGGCGGCUUACUGGACUGUAACUGACGUUGAGGCUCGAAAGCGUGGGGAGCAAACAGGAUUAGAUACCCCUGUAGUC